rnacentral:rRNA from 1 species
UACAGAGGUCUCAAGCGCUGUUCGGAUUCAUUGGGCGUAAAGGGCGUGUAGGCGGUGCGGUAAGUCGGGCGUGAAAUCUCGGAGCUUAACUCCGAAACUGCAUUCGAUACUGCCGUGCUUGAGGACUGGAGAGGAGACUGGAAUUUACGGUGUAGCAGUGAACUGCGUAGAGAUCGUAAGGAAGACCAGUGGCGAAGGCGGGUCUCUGGACAGUUCCUGACACUGAGGCACGAAGGCCAGGGGAGCAAACGGG